rnacentral:RNase_P_RNA from 1 species
UUAAGUAGUCGGAAUGACCUCCGUUUUGCGGAGAAGGAAAGUCCGGGCACCAAAGAGCAGAAUGCUCGUGAAAAUGAGCAAGGUGUGAGCUUUGAGCAUAGCACAACAGAAAAUAUACCGCUAACCGCGCUUUGCGCGGCAGUAAGGUUGAAAUCGUGUCCUCCUUUGCGUAAAGCUACGGAGGAUCUUGCGUACAGUUACAGAUUGUGCAGAUUGCUACGAAAGUGGCGACCUGUCGUCCGUAAUCUUGGCGCAGGACGGUAAGAGCGCACGCGUUCAUAUGGCAACAUAUGCCUGUGGCAAGCCUCGUUUGGUGCAAGUGGAGCGGAUCCAAUAUUUUGCGACUUAUGUAUAAUUUGCCCGAGAGGGCAAAAUGUACUCCGUCAAAUACUGCUCGUAUUGAAAUAUCGGAACUUCACGCUUAGAUAGAUGUCAUUUAAACAAAACUCGGCUUAUCGACUGCUUAGGGUU